rnacentral:rRNA from 1 species
GAUGAACGCUGGCGGCUUGCCUAAUACAUGCAAGUCGAGCGCAGCGGGGACGGUUGAGUAACACGUUGAUAACCUCCUAUAAGACUGGGAUCACUUCGGGAAACCGGAGCUAAACCGGCUCCUUAUAGAUGGAUCCUCUCUGCAUUAGCUAGUUGGUAAGGUAACGGCUUACCAAGGCAACGAUGCAUAGCCGACCUGAGAGGGUGAUCGGCCACACUGGAACUGAGACACGGUCCAGACUCCUACGGGAGGCAGCAGUAGGGAAUCUUGCGCAAUGGGCGAAAGCCUGACGGAGCAAAGCCGCGUGAGUGAUGAAGGUCUUCGGAUCGUAAAACUCUGUUAGUAGGGAAGCGGUACAUAAGCAGAAAGCAACGGCUAACUACGUGCCAGCAGCCGCGGUAAUUC